rnacentral:rRNA from 1 species
AGUUCGAUUCUGGCUCAGAUUGGAACGCUGGCGGGAUGCUUACACAUGCAAGUCGAACGGCAGCACGGACUUCGGUCUGGUGGCGAGUGGGGCGAACGGGUGAGUAAUGUAUCGGAACGUGCCUAGUAGCGGGGAUAAUUGCUGCGCUGAAAGCGCUAAUACCGCAUACGCCCUUCGGGGGAAAGCGGGGGACCUUCGGGCCUCGCACUAUUAGAGCGGCCGAUAUCGGAUUAGCUAAGUUGGUGGGGUAACGGCUCACCAAGGCGACGAUCCGGGCUGGUUUGAGAGACGACCAGCCACACUGGGACUGAGACACGGCCCAGACUCCUACGGGAGGCAGCAGUGGGAAUUCUGGAUAAUGGGAAACCUCCUGAUCCAGCCAUCCGGCGUGUGCGAUGAAGGCCUUCGGGUUGUAAAGCACUUUGGCAGGAAAGAAACGGCACGGGAUAAUACCCCGUGCAACUGACGGUACCUGUGCAGAAGCACUGGCUAACUACGCCAGCAGGCGGUAAUACGUAGGUGCAAGCGCGAAUCGGAAUUACUGGGCGUAAAAGCGUGCGCAGCAGGCGGUUCGGAAAGAAAGAUGGGAAAUCCCAGACGAAUUUGGAACUGUAUUUUUAACUACCGAGCGAGCAACAGAGGGAGGGAAUUCGCGUGUAGCAGGAAACGCGUAGAUAUGCGGAGGAACACCAGCUGGCGAAGGCAGCCUCCCUGGGAUAACACUGACGCUCAUGCACGAAAGCGUGGGGAGCAAACAGGAUUAGAUACUCCUGUAGUCCACGCCCUAAACGAUGUCAACUUAGCCGUUGGGGCUCCCGGGCCUUUGGUAGCGCAGCUAACGCGUGAAGUUGACCGCCUGGGGAGUACGGUCGCAAGAUUAAAAACUCAAAGGAAUUGACGGGGAUCGCACAAGCGGUGGACAUGGAUUUAAUUUGAUGCAAUGCGAAAAACCUUACCUACCUUUUUGACAUGUCUGGAAUCCCGAAGAGAUCGGGAGUGCUCGCAAGAGAACCGGAACACAGGUGCUGCAUGGCUAGUCGUCAGCUCGUGUCGUGAGAUGUUGGGUUAAGUCCCGCAACGAGCGCAACCCUUGUCAUUAGUUGCUACGAAAGGGCAUCGAAUGAGACCGCUGGCGACAAACCGGAGGAAGGUGGGGAUGACGUCAAGUCCUCAUGGCCCUUAUGGCAGGGCUUCACACGUCAUACAAUGGUCGGGACAGAGGGUCGCCAACCCGCGAGGGGAGCCAAUCCUAGAAACCCGAUCGUAGUCCGGAUCGCAGUCUGCAACUCGACUGCGUGAAGUCGGAACCAGUAAUCGCGGAUCAGCAUGUCGCGGUGAAUACGUCUCUGGCCCCAGCUACACCGCCCGUCACACCAUGGGAGUGGGUUUUACCAGAAGUAGCGGCUAGUCAACCGGGUAAGGAGGGCGAUUACCACGGUAGGAUUCAUGACUGGGGUGAAGUCGUAACAAGGUAA